rnacentral:rRNA from 1 species
UGGGGAAUUUUGGACAAUGGGCGCAAGCCUGAUCCAGCAAUGCCGCGUGCAGGAUGAAGGCCUUCGGGUUGUAAACCGCUUUUGUCAGGGAAGAAACGAGUUUCUCUAAUACAGAGACUUAAUGACGGUACCUGAAGAAUAAGCACCGGCUAACUACGUGCCAGCAGCCGCGGUAAUACGUAGGGUGCGAGCGUUAAUCGGAAUUACUGGGCGUAAAGCGUGCGCAGGCGGUUAUAUAAGACAGAUGUGAAAUCCCCGGGCUCAACCUGGGACCUGCAUUUGUGACUGUGUAGCUAGAGUACGGUAGAGGGGGAUGGAGUUCCGCGUGUAGCAGUGAAAUGCGUAGAUAUGCGGAGGAACACCGAUGGCGAAGGCAAUCCCCUGGACCUGUACUGACGCUCAUGCACGAAAGCGUGGGGAGCAAACA